rnacentral:rRNA from 1 species
AGGUGAACCUGCGGAGGGAUCAUUACAAGUGACCCCGGUCUUACCACCGGGAUGUUCAUAACCCUUUGUUGUCCGACUCUGUUGCCUCCGGGGCGACCCUGCCUUCGGGCGGGGGCUCCGGGUGGACACUUCAAACUCUUGCGUAACUUUGCAGUCUGCAGUAAACUUAAUUAAUAAAUUAAAACUUUUAACACCGGAUCUCUUGGUUCUGGCACCGAUGAAGAACGCAGCGAAAUGCGAUAAGUAAUGUGAAUUGCAGAAUUCAGUGAAUCAUCGAAUCUUUGAACGCACAUUGCGCCCCCUGGUAUUCCGGGGGGCAUGCCUGUUCGAGCGUCAUUUCACCACUCAAGCCUCGCUUGGUAUUGGGCAACGCGGUCCGCCGCGUGCCUCAAAUCGACCGGCUGGGUCUUCUGUCCCCUAAGCGUUGCGGAAACUAUUCGCUAAAGGGUGUUCGGGAGGCUACGCCGUAAAACAACCCCAUUUCUAAGGUGACCUC